rfam:Streptomyces xiamenensis strain 318, complete genome.
CGAGUCGCGCGGGCGGUCGCGUUGGUGUCCGGUUCAGGCCGGGUGCCGCCGAGGAACGUCCGGGCUCCACAGGGCAGGGUGGUAGGUAACGCCUACCUGGGGCGACCCACGGGACAGUGCCACAGAAAACAGACCGCCGGGGCCGUGCGAACGGCACCCGGUAAGGGUGAAACGGUGGUGUAAGAGACCACCAGCGACCGGGGUGACCCGGCCGGCUCGGUAAACCCCACCCGGAGCAAGGUCAAGAAGGGGCCAUCGGCGAUGGCCUCGCGCGGAUGACUGAGGGCGGCCCGCCCGAGUCCGCGGGUAGACCGCUGGAGGCUGUCGGCGACGGCAGCCCUAGAUGGAUGACCGCCACCCACCCCUUUGGGGGCGGGAACAGAACCCGGCGUACAGCCCGACUCGUCUG